GUGGAUUAGAUACCCUGGUAGUCCACGCCGUAAACGAUGUCUACUCGGAGUUUGGUGUCUUGAACACUGGGCUCUCAAGCUAACGCAUUAAGUAGACCGCCUGGGGAGUACGGCCGCAAGGUUAAAACUCAAAUGAAUUGACGGGGGCCCGCACAAGCGGUGGAGCAUGUGGUUUAAUUCGAUGCAACGCGAAGAACCUUACCUACUCUUGACAUCCAGAGAACUUUCCAGAGAUGGAUUGGUGCCUUCGGGAACUCUGAGACAGGUGCUGCACGGUCGUCGCCAACU
rnacentral:rRNA from 1 species